ACAGAGGUGUCAAGCGUUGCUCGGUGUCACUGGGCUUAAAGGGCGCGUAGGCUGUGCAGUACGGCUCGGGUGAAAUCCCUCGGCCCAACCGAGGAACCGCCCGGGCGACGGCUGUGCUGGACUGCAUCAGGGGCGGAUGGAACUCCCGGUGGAGCGGUGAAAUGCGUAGAUAUCGGGAGGAACGCCGGUGGCGAAAGCGAUCCGCUGGGGUGCAUGUGACGCUGAGGCGCGAAAGCCAGGGGAGCAAACGGGA
rnacentral:rRNA from 1 species